GGCGGGGGAUGCAAGCGUUAUCCGGAAUCACUGGGCGUAAAGCGUCUGUAGGUGGUGAUGCAAGUCACUGGUGCAAAACUCUGGCUCAACCGGAGGAAAGCCAGUGAAACUGCAUGACUAGAGUGUGGGAGAGGUAGAAGGAAUUCCCUGAGUAGCGGUGAAAUGCGUAGAUACAGGGAAGAACACCGGAGGCGAGAGCGUUCUACUGGAACACAACUGACACUGGGAGACGAAAGCUAGGGGAGCGAUUGGG
rnacentral:rRNA from 1 species